UCUUCGAUAGUACAGGGGUUAGUAUACCCGCUUUUCAGGAUCUUAAAGUCCAGGGCGCGGGCGACCCGGGUUCGAUUCCCGGUCGGAGAA
rnacentral:tRNA from 7 species